rnacentral:rRNA from 1 species
AUUGAACGCUGGCGGCAUACCUUACACAUGCAAGUCGAACGGCAGCACGGGUGCUUGCACCUGGUGGCGAGUGGCGAACGGGUGAGUAAUGCAUCGGAACGUACCCGGAAGUGGGGGAUAACGUAGCGAAAGUUACGCUAAUACCGCAUAUUCUGUGAGCAGGAAAGAGGGGGAUCGCAAGACCUCUCGCUUUCGGAGCGGCCGAUGUCGGAUUAGCUAGUUGGCGGGGUAAAGGCCCACCAAGGCGACGAUCCGUAGCGGGUCUGAGAGGAUGAUCCGCCACACUGGGACUGAGACACGGCCCAGACUCCUACGGGAGGCAGCAGUGGGGAAUUUUGGACAAUGGGCGCAAGCCUGAUCCAGCCAUGCCGCGUGAGUGAAGAAGGCCUUCGGGUUGUAAAGCUCUUUCGGCUGGGAAGAAAUCGCAUCUCCUAAUACGGGGUGUGGAUGACGGUACCAGCAUAAGAAGCACCGGCUAACUACGUGCCAGCCGCCGCCGUAAGAC